rnacentral:tRNA from 1 species
AUAAAGGUAAGCUAAGAUAAAGCUAAUGGGUUCAUACCCCACAUAUAGGAACCAUUCCUCCUUUUUA